rnacentral:rRNA from 1 species
CACUUCCCCAGCAAUNNACCGAGGGCCCNGCUANAANCGGAUGGAGCAUNUGGUNGUUANUUNCGAANGCCAAACNGCGAGAGAACCUAANCCAGGCCCCNUGACANGNACCGGUCNCGGGACCANUCGGAGGACAUUUGUCCNCUUCAAGUUAGNGCGUGGACCCGNGAANACAGGUGANUGCCNUGCCNGGUCGUCAGACUCGUGUCGUGAGAUGANUGGGNUAAGUGCCGCAACGCAGCGCAACCCUCGCCUCUAGUUGCCAUCAUUCAGUUGGGCACUCUAGAGGGACUGCCGGUGAUAAUCCGAGAGGAAGGUGGGGAUGACGUCAAGUCCUCAUGGCCCUUACGGGCUGGGCUACACACGUGCUACAAUGGCGGUGACAAUGGGCAGCUAACCCGNGAGGGUGAGCUAAUCUCCAAAAGCCGUCUCAGUUCGGAUUGCACUCUGCAACUCGAGUGCAUGAAGUUGGAAUCGCUAGUAAUCGUGGAUCAGAAUGCCACGGUGAAUACGUUCCCGGGCCUUGUACACACCGCCCGUCACANCCAUGGGAGUUGGUUUUACCCGAAGGUGCUGUGCUAACCGCAAGGAGGCAGGCAACCACGGUAGGGUCAGCGACUGGGGUGAAGUCGUAANCAAGGUACC